GACGAACGCUGGCGGCGUGCUUAACACAUGCAAGCCGAACGGAAAGGCCCUGCUUUUGUGGGGUGCUCGGGUGGCGAACGGGUGAGUAACACGUGAGUAACCUGCCCUUGACUUUGGGAUAACUUCAGGAAACUGGGGCUAAUACCGGAUAGGAGCUCCUGCUGCAUGGUGGGGGUUGGAAAGUUUCGGCGGUUGGGGAUGGACUCGCGGCUUAUCAGCUUGUUGGUGGGGUAGUGGCUUACCAAGGCUUUGACGGGUAGCCGGCCUGAGAGGGUGACCGGCCACAUUGGGACUGAGAUACGGCCCAGACUCCUACGGGAGGCAGCAGUGGGGAAUAUUGCACAAUGGGCGGAAGCCUGAUGCAGCAACGCCGCGUGCGGGAUGACGGCCUUCGGGUUGUAAACCGCUUUCGCCUGUGACGAAGCGUGAGUGACGGUAAUGGGUAAAGAAGCACCGGCUAACUACGUG
rnacentral:rRNA from 1 species